CAUAUACAAAGUGAGAUAACAAAAAUGAACUUGCUAAUAACAUAAAGAAAUAAAUCUAUUGACAACUAAAUUGUCUCACUUUACUAAGUUGAGGACAAUUUUUACUUUAUUUCAGUUUCUAGGAAAUCUCUUCUAUAUCAAAAUUCUGUAGAUGUAUAAAACUGUUUGCAUACUACUGACAUCUUUUGGGAGGAUAAAACACAUUUCCUGAAUAAAUGUUUUAAGAAAAACUUUAUAAACUUUUAAACUAUAUUGAAAUGGUAUAGUGCUUUGUGAUUUAUUAGUCUCCAAUUUUUUUUUAUCUUGAUGUCUCACUUUUUAAUUCUCUUCCAACCAUCUAACCUUUUAGAGGUAUCUCUCCCAUUCUUGUACAAUAAUUAAUAUUUGCUUAGUGCUUACUGUAAGCCACACAUUGAUUUAUGUACUUAAUCACAUUUAAUCAUUGUGCAAGAUCACACAAAAAGGGUAGGACAGUUGGGACUUUAAUCACUGAAGUUUACUAUACUCCUGAUUGAACAGCAUGAGUCACCCUACCAAUGAAUCCAAUCACAUUUUAGUUGAAUAGUUUGCUGUAUAACAUGUGGAUAUUCAAUACACACUUGAUGCUUGACAAACCGAUGACUGCUGUAUGACCCAGAAAGUCCAAUGCAACUUUUACAUCAUCUCUUCCAUUUUUAACACUUCAUCUGUGUUCAUUUUAGCACAAGAAAUCUAAUAAAUCUUACUGACUAGCCUUGGUAGGCCCUUAAAAUCAAUUUAGAGAACAGGCCUGAGAGAUAUCAGAUUCAGGGUGUGGGGGCUAGGUAAAAAUGAUCGAAAGUCAUGCCUUUCCUCACUUCGAAUAUCCUUGUUGCCUCUUGAAAUUUCCCAACUGCUUAUUUCAGGGUGUGUGACUUCUUAACUUAUAAGUGAUUGGUUCUUCUGUAUUAACCAAUUUGUCUUGACAGUUGUUUAAUGGUCCAAUCAGCUAUUAAUGGAUUUUUGAUUAAUAUUCUGUGGGUUCAGUCAGAGUAGUAAAGAUGGCUGUACAGUUUGUAAAUAUGAUAUCAUUCUGGGUACAUUUUCACAUGAUCAUUCACCUGAGACAUGAGCUUCUCAAACUCCCUGAUCCUAGCACACCUGUCUAUUGUGUGCUUCAAAGUGAAAAAUCACUAGAUUCAUAAAGUGGAUUGGAUUUAUCCUGUACAAUGAAAAUCUUUUUUCCCCUCGGAUAUUUAGAGAUAGAGCACGAGAGAGGGUAUAUUUGUAAUAGCAUGCAAGGACAGAUCCUGGCUAAAUAUUAUUAACAUAAGAUACUUCUUCUAGGCCAUAUUUUACCAUUUGUCUUGAAUUGCUAAACAUACAAGACAGCAUAGGAAGUAAUUUAUGCAGCCGUAAUUGUGAUGAUGAUUACUUUUUUGCCAAAUCCUGCUGAGCAAUCAAUCUUUCUAGAAGAAAUACAAUCAUCUCCUGGUUUUGAUCACUGUGCCGCAUAAUCUGAUAUCAAGUUAACAAAGAAGAUAUACUGCCUCAGUUGAAUCACAUUGGAAUAUGUUCUUCUGGAUUUAAUGAAGAUGCUUUCAGAAGUUAAAAAUAAUCUGAAAAUAAAGAUGAAAGCCAUGACGUACUUUAAAACUAAGGAGAUCUUUUCAUGAAGACUGGCCAGUGAUAGCUCAAUUUCUGUCAAGUUGAACCACAUGCUAUCAUGUAACUAAAUCAAAAGAAAAGCACAGUUCAGUGACACAGACACUGGAGAGAAAAUGAGAGGGUUCAGAUGCACUUUUGCUUAUGCAUUGUGUUAUCUGAAUAAUUUCUAAAUUUUUCCAAACAAACAUCAUGAUAGAAAAAAGUCUGGCUUGGUUUUAAAAAUCAUAUUUAGUAGAUCUAAAACUGAAGAGAAGUGGAAUCCUUGGGCUCCUGGCAGCCAAUUUCCACUACAACCUUCACAUUUUCAGUACAGAUUAUAUGAUGUGAAUAAGUAGUUGCUCAGCAAGCUACAGAAAUAAAAUAUUAAAUGUGCAUGCAGAAACAGAAUCCUCUCUUACCUCCUCUAUCAUCAGAAAUAGAGUUGCUUGAAUUGAAAUUACAUUAUUAUUGGUUAGCAGGUGGUAUUGAGUUGCUUCUCAUGGAAACUUAGGGUAUCUGUUUCUUCUCAUUUUGGAAAAAUCAAUUUUAUUAGGCUAUGGAUUUGACAAAUUUAGUUUUUACUUAGAAAUGAGUAUCCUCUAUUCUACUUAAAGUCCUCUCAUAGUGUAGUAUAUGAAGUAGUCAUUUCAUAGUAAGAUAACUAUUAUCUAGUGCAGAUCAUUCAUUUGGUAUACAUUUCUGUUCUUUAUCUGGAAUAUGGGGAUACUAAUACUUAGAUUAUGGUAUUGUUGAGAGGAUUUUUAAAACGUUCGAUUUAAUAUUGUACUUAGUAGAAUAUGAGUUCAGUUAGUCUUAAUUCUGUAGACUCAAAUUGUCUAUUUAGGGAAGUUCUAUGGUUUUUAGGCCUUUAGGUUACUAUUUUAUUGAACUCACACUGAAGGUGCAUUAAAAGAGAUCUCAGAGCUGCCUAGAUACAUUACCUUUUUUUAGUCCCAGAUCCUGUAAGUGAGAACACAGGCAUUAUUGACUCUGGGUCAUGAAUUUACUUGGCUGGAGUAAAAUACUAAAGAAAUACAGUUAAAGAUUUAAUUUCUCUUUGGAUUGGUCACCCAUGAGGGCACAAUGAAAAUUUAUCAGUUGAUUAUCUCUGCUCUGCCAGUCAUUUCCUAAGGUAUAUAAUUUUUGUAAAUUAUAUCAAGAGAGCCUUGCCUUAUGAGUAUUUCGCAAGGUAAUAAUAUGAACCUCCAUAUGUGAAGUAACCUCUACUAAAUCAAACAGAUAAUAAGCAGUGAAGCCAGCAUUUAAACGUGGAUCUUACUCAUUUCAAAAGCUCAUAUUCUUUGUAACAUAGUCCCCUAACUGUGAUAUUAGACUGAAAUUAUAAAUCCUGUAUGCUGUUUUACAAAUGCAAAUUAUUUAGCACAAAGGCAACUGUGUGAUAGAAAAUGAAUGGAUAUUUAGAUAUCAAGAACCAGUUGCAAAUCCUAGACAAGAAAGUUUUUAUAAAUUUGUUCUCUGAUUUUCUUCCUUUCCUAUCAGAGAAUUUGGGGCUACAUUUGCUGGUAAUAGCAAAUUAUGAGAUUAUGUGUCUCAAAAGAUAUCUGAAAUCAUUCUAAAUUGAAUCAUUUAAACAUUCCAUUCAAAUUGCAAAAUUCUAAGUUUUGUUUUGAAAGAGAUUUUCUCAAAGUUGGGGCAGUUUCUUCCUACAUUAAAAAAGUUCUGAAUUCUUUGGUGAAAAGUGCUAAAUUAUUUAAAUUCUUUUAAAUUAGAUAUAAAGGAAUGACCUUUAAUCCAAAUGAGUGAGAAAUCUAAAGAGCCAUAUAUAUGAUAUGAACUUAAUUUUCCCCUUACUUUUGUUCCUCAUUUAGAAGUUAUAGGUUAACUAUAUUAUUCAAUGAACUCCCACAUUGUAUAGGUCAAUUUGUCCUCUGUCUUUAGACUGUGUCUCUCAUUAGAGAUCACAGACCAUACGCAAGGAUUUCAACCCAUUGAAGGAAUCAUCAUGUAGUCUGAAGAAGAUUCCACCCAGAUUCAGAGCUUUGUUUCAGUAGUGAACAUACAUCCUUUUCCUUCAUUGUAGUUUCAUUCUGAAAUAGUCCCUCAUAUUGUGUUUGACAAACACAUGCAAUCUCUCUUUGUUUAGUGAAUUCCAAAUGAAGUGAGUGAAAUAUAUUGCCUUGAGCUGGUAUUGCCCUUUUUUGUCACCUACUCUACCAUCUGACUUUCUUAUUUUGCCUUAUUUCUUAAGAUGAAAUCUAAAUUUUAUGAGAGCCCUGAAUAGUUGGGGGUAUAUGUAGAUGGGGGUAUUAUGUGAGCAAUUGCUCCAAAGUUGAGUGAUGCAGUGGUAGGGUAUAUGUUAAAAGGAGAAGUUUGAAAUCUUGAAAGAAAGAAAAGAUGAAAAUUAUAUUUAAAUGAGGUUUUCCAGUUUGGUCUUUGAUAUUAAACUGAUGAGGUAAAUUGCUUUCAGAAGUUAAAAUAGGGAUCUAAAGGUUAUAAUAAUAUCAAUGCAAAAAUAGCCCAGAGAAAGACGAGAUAGUUCAUUUAAAUAUGUGAAUGAUUUGUUGGGCUGUAAUGGCUCUAUUAAUAUUAAUUAUGCCAUUAUUAUUCACUGCUCUCCACAUCGAAAAUUACCAGUCUGUAACUUACUGACAGAGAUACUGAAGUGUAAAUAGGUGUUGACAACCUUGCUUCUGUGCACACAGGGUAUUCGUUAUUUUGAAGUUUAAAAACAUUCUAACCAAUCCAACAUUGAGAAAAGUCUAGAUUUGGCCAAAAAAACCUCUGAAAGUGAAGAAUUUGUUACUUCCAAGUGUUGCUUUUAUGGUAGCUUGAGCUUGGCCUUCAGCUAGUUUUUGAAAUGCUGAAGUUGCCUGGUCUCAGGUUCUGGUUCCUUCAUAGGUCAGCUUAAAGGCCUUUACAAGGGGUGGGGGAAAAAAGAGGGUGCACUGUCUAGCCUCUAGAGGGGAUCUUGAUAGCAAGGAGACAGCCAAAGGGACAAACACGUGUCUCCAAGCAGCUGAGUUAGAGGAUGUGGCUUGUUUUGAAAACCAUUCCUUAGACCAGAAGUUUAUCUCUAUUUGGGGGUAAGUGUUGGUGGAGAUAAAAAAUUUUAUGCCUGGAAAACUAUCCCAUCAGCGAUAGGCUAGUCUUUUAACUCUGCACAUUGGCCUUUUUUUUCUUGAAGCAAUUGACAUUUAAUGAGGAAGAAAACAACAUUUUGAAGGUUGUAUUUAUUUGUUUAAUAGUGUGACUGUCCUAGUGUUUGGAAGAUAAUGUUUUUAUGUGCGGUUUAAAAUGUUUGGUAUCACUUUGAGUCCUAAACAGAUACAUUUCAUUAAAUUCUCCAGGCUUUGAUUUUCACCCCAUUAAGUUCCAUUAUCAAAAUUACCAGGCACUAUCUGAAAAGCUUAAAAGUUAUAUUGCUAAUAAUCGCACAGGUCUCUUCCUUCUUCUUAAACGUAAAAUGCCAUUUAAACUGAAUCAUAGCAUGUGUUUAGCUGCCAAUUUGAAUCCCCACAUCUGGGAAUCGUCCCAAGAUCACACACUUCCUGUCUGGAGGAGGUCGUAUUCUCAGUACAAGCCUCACCAGCAAUGAUUUGAUUCAGCAAUAAAAAAAGGGACCCCAAGUGAGUCCAUGUGAUAAAAUAUGGGAAAGGGGGGUAUGGAUGUCUUGGUUCCUCAACAUAUGAUGAUAAUUAAACCUCCAAACUCUAUAAUUUCUCCUCUUCUUUUUAUAACUAUUCUUGGC
rnacentral:lncRNA from 1 species